GGCCAGGCCUUGUGGAGGAGUGACUGCCCCCAACCACCAGCUUGGCAGCAUUUAGAUCUGAGCUCUGCUAAAACACACUGCCUAACUUUGUUUUAGGAUUUAGUUCAAGAAAACGUCCAAAUGUUGUGUUUGUUAUCUCAAGAGUAGACCAAGAAUCUGACAUCACUCUCACUGAUGUAAAGACCCAAAUUCAUGGUUUAUAGAAAAUGUUUAAAUGAAUUUAAAAAAUGAGGCAUUUCUUAAGAAGUUGGAAUUUGGCUUCAUGCAUAACUGUACUAAAACUUUAAAUAGAAAUAUGUCAUUUGAAUGAAAAUCUUAGUACAGUAAAUUCACUGUGAAGGCAACAUAAUUAAAUUUCUAUUUUGAAAAAGACUGAAAGUCUUAGACUCUAAAGAAAUAUUAAGUAAUGAUUUCUGGAAAAUUUCUAUUUUUUUAAUAUGAUUCUUAACUAGUAGUUGGAAUUCUUAAGCUCUAUUAAUAUAAUUCUUUAUUGUAAACAUUUCUAAUGCUAAAAGUCUGAAUAAAAUGAGAGCUUUCGGGGCUGGCCCUGUGGCCGAGUGGUUAAGUUCGCGCGCUCCGCUGCGGGCGGCCCAGUGUUUCGUUGGUUCGAAUCCUGGGCGCGGACAUGGCACUGCUCAUCAGACCACGCUGAGGCAGCGUCCCACAUGCCACAACUGGAAGGACCCACAACGAAGAAUAUACAACUAUGCACCGGGGGGCUUUGGGGAAAAAAAGGAAAAAAAAAAAAAUGAGGGCUUCCUAGGACCUGUGAAGACAGGGAGCAGUUCUUACAGUUAUUUCUACAUUCAACUACGCCUAGGACAGCGCCUUCUCUAUAAGGAAAAAAGUAGCCAAUUUAUUGUGCAGACUACAUUACAAAUGGAAGAAGAAAAGGACUCCUGUUGUGGGCCACAGAUUUCUUCCUCUUCAGCUUCCUUCUCCAGAAGACCCCACCACCACCCCACCUUGUGACUUGGAAUUUGGGGAAGCAUUAUCAAAAGGGACCUGAAGGAGGGGUGCGGUGCUUGCUUCACAAUGCGUGCAAACUCUCCUUUGAUUUUCAUGGCGGUGGUUGUUGCUGAAGGUGAGCAUGUGCAGAAUCAUAAUACAUAAGUAGAGGGAUCAGCCUAACAUCCCAGCUUUACUGCCUAAGAAGCUGAGAUCCAGGAAAAUGUCAUGUUAUGCGCCCUUGUAGGAUGUCCAGUGAUGACUCAAGAAAGCCCUCUGGUUGAGAUGGUUUAAGUGAAUGAUGCUUAGAAGACAGAAAAAUGGAACAUCGAAUAAAUUUCCGACUUCUUUUGGCA
rnacentral:lncRNA from 1 species